GAAGGAGCUGUGGACUUUAUGGAAGAGAGAAUGCCGGAAUGAGUAGCGAGAGAGAGGUGGGAAUCCUCUCGGCCGAAUAUCCAAGGUUUCCAGAGUAAAGCUGAUCUGCUCUGGGUAAGUCGGGGCCUAAGGCGAGGGCGAAAGCCGUAGUCGAUGGACAACAGGUUGAGAUUCCUGUACUGCGGCAUAUCAGAACUGUGGUCUGCAACUGACGCUGAGGCUCGAAAGCAUGGGUAGCGAACAGGAUUAGAUACCCUGGUAGUCCAUGCCGUAAACGAUGAGUGCUAAGUGUUGGGAGGUUUCCGCCUCUCAGUGCUGCAGCUAACGCAUUAAGCACUCCGCCUGGGGAGUACGACCGCAAGGUUGAAACUCAAAGGAAUUGACGGGGGCCCGCACAAGCGGUGGAGC
rnacentral:rRNA from 1 species